UUUUGGAAACCGGUGCGAAAAAAAAUAGGCGGGAUUGGGAAAUAGAGUUUUUGCACCAGUUCUAACCAAACCGGUGCGAAAAGUUAGUUUUUUGCACAAGUUCUAACCAAACCGGUGCGAAAAGUUUGUUUUUCGCACCGGUUCAAACCGAACGGUGCCAAAACUCUUUCUAAAUAAAAAAACCCAGUCUCUUUCUUUCACUUUCAUUUCCUCAUCUACCUCUCUCCUCUCAUCUAGCCUCUCUGUCCUCAAAAACUCACCAUCACCGAAAACUUAACCACCCACGAAAUCAUUCAUCCAAGCCAGCACCGUCGCUGAACCCACCAGUCCACCACCAUCGCCUCUCUCUCCUCAGAAACCCACCAUCGCCGAAACCUAAACCACCCACAAAAUCCCCCACCCCCACGAAACCCAACCCAGCACCUACGAAACACAAACCCACCCACAAAACUCAACGGCUCUACAGAAGCAGUCUCAAAGGUUUGGUUUGUGGAGGCGUGGAGCGUACUCGAAAUUCUCCAUUGAAGCGGCUUCUGAGUUCUGACUUUCUGAGCUUUCUCUCCUCGUUUCCUCCAUUGAAGGCUUAGAAGGCUUGAAGUAGUCUCUAAGGAUUCAGCUGAUGAAGAAGAACAGAAAGAAGUUGCUCUUAAAGAAUUGUCAUCAAAUUUGUUGUCUGUUGCAAGGCGGCAUGAAGCCUAUCAGACUUUUUGGAACAUUUGUUGUGACCUCAAUGAUUCCAAUCUUCUUAAAGAGCUUAUGGAUCACCCAGAUCUUCUGUGGCUUCAUGAAAUUUUUCUUCAUCAAUAUUCUGGUGCUUCGAAAACUCUUCAUGGUUUGGCACUCUCUGGAGAUAAAAGAUUGUUUUCAGCUUCCGAAAAGGAGACAGAACUAGAUUCUAGAAAAACGGACUUAACAUUGUCUGAAAGAAAGCGUCUCUUGCAUUUAUCAAAGAUAGCUUCAAUUGCAGAGGACAGAACCCAGCAAACAUAGCAGCCUGACCCAAAGCAGCCAAACCAGCAAGCAACACAACACUACACAGAGCAGCAAACACCCACCACAGCCUGACCAGAGCAGAACAGAAACACAGCAGCUCAAGAACUCAAACCAGUCACCCAGCCAGCCUGAACAUAACAGAGACACAGCCACAGAAGCAAACAGAUGCCCAGCCAGCCUAAACAAGACAGAGGCACAGCAGCGCAGCAGAACAGAAACAGCAGCACAACAAACAGUAGAGCAGCAGGUCAGCCUGAACACACAACAACACAGCAGCCAGCAGAGCAACCACCAGCACAAGACAGCCUAAACAGAAGCAAAACCAAUCACCCAGCCAGCCUGAACAGAGCAGAAACAUAGCCACAGAAGCUAAACAGACGCCCAGCCAGCCUGAACAGGACUGAGGCACAACAACGUAGCUAAACAGAAACAACAGCACAUCAAACAACAGAGCAACCUGUCAACCUAAACACACAACAACACAGCAGCCAGCAGAGUAACUACCAGCACAAGACCAGGACAGCUCCUACUGGAACUCAGACUAGGAACAGGACAGCAACACAGAAUAGUAGCCAAACAGAAGAAAAAUAAUAGUCACUAAAACAGUAUGCUGUUCUUGAGCCCUUACAUCCACUUACAAUGCUGUCUUGUCCAGUUUUAAUGAAAAUAUGUAACUUUGUAUAUAUGUUAGUGUUUAUAUAUCAAUUUAAGUGAAAAAAA